rnacentral:rRNA from 1 species
GAUUUGUGGUUUAAUGCACCUGGCCCGCGGCCACGGCUUGUGAGGUGGCGGCGCGCGUUUACCAUCCUUCUGCCAUUAACUUGGUUGGAAUUGCGAUCUAGAUCUUUACUUUGAAAAAAUUAGAGUGUGUAAAGCAGACUUUUGCUAUGAAUACAUUUGCAUGGAAUAAUAAUCUAGUGCUUCUCUAAGUAAUGAUUGAUAGGUGGGGGUGCGAGGAUUGGCCGGCCAGAGGUGAAAUUCUUGGAUUCGGUCAAGACUAACUUAUGCGAAAGCAUU